GGGGAGGUGGCUGAGUGGCCGAAAGCGCCCGCCUGCUAAGCGGGUGACGGGGGUUAACCUCGUCCGAGGGUUCGAAUCCCUCCCUUCCCGCCA
rnacentral:tRNA from 1 species